GACGAACGCUGGCGGCGUGCUUAACACAUGCAAGUCGAACGCUGAAGCCCUUUCGGGGGUGGAUGAGUGGCGAACGGGUGAGUAACACGUGGGUAAUCUGCCCUGCACUCUGGGAUAAGCCUUGGAAACGGGGUCUAAUACCGGAUAGGACACAUCGCCGCCUGGAGUGUGUGUGGAAAGUUCUGGCGGUGCAGGUUGAGCCCGCGGCCUAUCAGCUUGUUGGUGGGGUGAUGGCCUACCAAGGCGACGACGGGUAGCCGGCCUGAGAGGGUGACCGGCCACACUGGGACUGAGACACGGCCCAGACUCCUACGGGAGGCAGCAGUGGGGAAUCUUGCGCAAUGGGCGAAAGCCUGGCGCAGCAACGCCGCGUGGGGGAUGACGGCCUUCGGGUUGUAAACCUCUUUCGACCGGGACGAAGGGUGACUGACGGUACCGGUAGAAGAAGCACCGGCUAACUACGUGCCAGCAGCCGCCGUAA
rnacentral:rRNA from 1 species